rnacentral:rRNA from 1 species
UACAGAGGUCUCAAGCGUUGUUCGGAUUCACUGGGCGUAAAGGGCUCGUAGGUGGCCAACUAAGUCAGACGUGAAAUCCCUCGGCUUAACCGAGGAACUGCGUCUGAUACUGGAUGGCUUGAGUUUGGGAGAGGGACGCGGAAUUCCAGGUGUAGCGGUGAAAUGCGUAGAUAUCUGGAGGAACACCGGUGGCGAAGGCGGCGUCCUGGACCAAUACUGACACUGAACAGCGAAAGCCAGGGGAGCAAACGGG